AAUGAAUGCUGGCGGCAGGCCUAACACAUGCAAGUCGAGCGCGAAAGUCUUCGGAUGAGUAAAGCGGCGGACGGGUGAGUAAUGCAUGGGAAUCUGCCUGGUAGUGGGGGACAACGUUUCGAAAGAGACGCUAAUACCGCAUACGCCCUACGGGGGAAAGGGGGGGAUCUUCGGACCUCUCGCUAUCAGACGAGCCCAUGUCAGAUUAGCUAGUUGGUAGGGUAAAGGCCUACCAAGGCGACGAUCUGUAACUGGUCUGAGAGGAUGAUCAGUCACACUGGAACUGAGACACGGUCCAGACUCCUACGGGAGGCAGCAGUGGGGAAUAUUGGACAAUGGGGGCAACCCUGAUCCAGCCAUGCCGCGUGUGUGAAGAAGGCCCUAGGGUUGUAAAGCACUUUCAGUGGGGAGAAAGGUAAUUCACCUAAUACGUGAGUUAAUUGAUGCUACCCACAGAAGAAGCACCGGCUAACUCCGUGCCAGCAGCCGCCGUAA
rnacentral:rRNA from 1 species